UCUCCACCCUCGGAUUCGUCUUUCCAAGAAAGACAGGGCGGCUGGCCCAAGUGGCCCGUCCUACCAUCGGAUUUUGGUGUUCUGGUGAUGCUCUCUCCAGUUGCACUGAUGCUUGCGGCUGCUGCUGCUGUUGUUUGGCCUACACAGCUUUAGUGAGACCUCUGACCUGCUGCACCAGUAGGUCAAAUUGCUCCGCGCCAACCGUCAUUGCUGGAGGAGGAGGAGGAGGCUAGAAAACUGGGGGUGAGGUCGGAGCCUGAGAUCUGGCCGCAGAGGCUGUGGAUCGCCGUGUGGAUGCUUUGCGGGGAGGCAUCGGGCGAAGACCUAGUGGGGGAAGGA
rnacentral:lncRNA from 1 species